rnacentral:rRNA from 1 species
UACGGGGGGAGCAAGCGUUGUUCGGAUUUACUGGGCGUAAAGGGCGCGUAGGCGGCCACUGCAAGUCGGUUGUGAAAUCUCCGGGCUUAACCCGGAAAGGUCAAUCGAUACUGCAGGGCUAGAGUGCGGAAGGGGCAACUGGAAUUCUCGGUGUAGCGGUGAAAUGCGUAGAUAUUGGGAGGAACACCGGUGGCGAAGGCGGCUAUCUGGACCGGUACUGACGCUGAGACGCGAAAGCCAGGGGAGCAAACGGG